rnacentral:rRNA from 1 species
GACGAACGCUGGCGGCGUGCCUAAUACAUGCAAGUAGAACGCUGAAACUUGGUGCUUGCACCGAGCGGAUGAGUUGCGAACGGGUGAGUAACGCGUAGGUAACCUGCCUGGUAGCGGGGGAUAACUAUUGGAAACGAUAGCUAAUACCGCAUAAGAGUAGAUGUUGCAUGACAUUUGCUUAAAAGGUGCAAUUGCACCACUACCAGAUGGACCUGCGUUGUAUUAGCUAGUUGGUGGGGUAACGGCUCACCAAGGCGACGAUACAUAGCCGACCUGAGAGGGUGAUCGGCCACACUGGGACUGAGACACGGCCCAGACUCCUACGGGAGGCAGCAGUAGGGAAUCUUCGGCAAUGGACGGAAGUCUGACCGAGCAGCGCCGCGUGAGUGAAGAAGGUUUUCGGAUCGUAAAGCUCUGUUGUAAGAGAAGAACGAGUGUGAGAGUGGAAAGUUCACACUGUGACGGUAUCUUACCAGAAAGGGACGGCUAACUACGUG